rnacentral:lncRNA from 1 species
GGAUUGCAUAGUGACUGCAUAAGGAUUGUAUAGUGACUGCAUAAGGAUUGCAUAGUGACUGCAUAAGGAUUGCAUAAGGAUUGUAUAGUGAUUGCAUAAGGAUUGCAUAGUGACUGCAUAAGGAUUGCGUAGUGACUGCGUAAGGAUUGCAUAAGGAUUGUAUAGUGACUACAUAAGGAUUGCAUAAGGAUUGUAUAGUGGCUGCGUAAGGAUUGCAUAAGGAUUGCAUAGUGACUGCGUAAGGAUUGCAUAGUGACUGCAUAAGGAUUGCAUAGUGACUGCAUAAGGAUUGCAUAGUGACUGCAUAAGGAUUGCAUAGUGACUGCAUAAGGAUUGCAUAGUGACUGCAUAAGGAUUGCAUAGUGACUGCAUAGUGACUGCAUAAGGAUUGCAUAGUGACUGCAUAAGGAUUGCAUAAGGAUUGCAUAGUGACUGCAUAAGGAUUGCAUAAGGAUUGUAUAGUGAUUGCAUUUGGUCUAAUUUGUCAUUUAACUGAAACAGCUCUCCAACUACUAGGCUUCUUUACUCUACGUUUUGGCUUUUCAGUCAUUUUUGAUUUGUUUGUGUGUGUGUGUGCGUGCGUGCGUGCGUGUGUGCGUAUGUGUGUGUUCAUUAACCCCCAAGUGUGCAGAGGUCAGCUGCUUUGACGAUGUUGCACUACUGUUCCAUCGGCUGAAGCAGUGCAACAGUAUUGUCAUGGCAUCUGGCCUCCGCCACGGCUUCCCAUGCAAUCAGAUGCUAAGGACUGAGGGGCAUAUAUGAGGGGUAUAUAUGAGAGGUAUAUAUGAGGGGUAUAUAUGAGGGGUAUAUAUGAGGGGUAUAUAUGAGAGGUAUAUAUGAGAGGUAUAUAUGAGGGGUAUAUAUGAGGGCUAUAUAUGAGGGGCAUAUAUGAGGUGCAUAUAAUAAGCACAAGAGUGAGUCCUCCCUCACUGGGCCUAUAGGAUAAUUCUGCAGGCCUUCCCUCUCACUGGGCCUAUAUGCUAAUACUGCAGGCCUUCCUUCUCCCUGGGCCUAUAGGAUAAUACUGCAGGCCUUCCUUCUCACUGGGCCUAUAGGAUAAUACUGCAGGCCUUCCUUCUCCCUGGGCCUAUAGGAUAAUACUGCAGGCCUUCCUUCUCCCUGGGCCUAUAGGAUAAUACUGCAGGCCUUCCUUCUCACUGGGCCUAUAGGAUAAUACUGCAGGCCUUCCUUCUCACUGGGCCUAUAGGAUAAUACUGCAGGCCUUCCUUCUCCCUGGGCCUAUAGGAUAAUACUGCAGGCCUUCCUUCUCCCUGGGCCUAUAGGAUAAUACUGCAGGCCUUCCUUCUCACUGGGCCUAUAGGAUAAUACUGCAGGCCUUCCUUCUCCCUGGGCCUAUAGGAUAAUACUGCAGGCCUUCCUUCUCCCUGGGCCUAUAGGAUAAUACUGCAGGCCUUCCCUCUCACUGGGCCUAUAGGAUAAUACUGC